rnacentral:rRNA from 1 species
AACGAACGCUGGCGGCGUGCUUUACACAUGCAAGUCGAACGAGAAAGCCCUUUCGGGGGUGAGUAGAGUGGCGCACGGGUGAGUAAUGGAUAGGAACGUACCGAAUGGUGGGGGAAUAACUCCGGGAAACCGAAGCUAAUACCGCAUGAUGUCGCGAGACCAAAGGAGGCCUCUUCUUGAAAGCUUCCGCCGUUUGAUCGGCCUAUCUCCCAUUAGCUUGUUGGUAGGGUAAUGGCCUACCAAGGCUACGAUGGGUAGCUGGUCUGAGAGGAGGAUCAGCCACACUGGAACUGAGACACGGUCCAG